UCAGUAAAUGUUUUAGCUAUUAGACUAUCAAAAAUACAUCAAGGGCAUCGAUUCUCAAAUUAGCAAUAUGCUGACUUUCAUUUUGUAGGAUGCCAGAGGCAAGGAGAUUGAGGAUGUAUUGAUUCUCUCGGAGAUCAUUUGUACCGUAUGGACUAUAUGGACUUGGUUCAGGGCCAUCAUCAAAGUGGCGCAGAUAUUACUAUUGCUUAUCUCCCUAUGGAUGACAGCCGAGCCUCAAACUUUGGUUUAAUGAAGAUAGACAACAAAGGAAGGGUUCUUUUCUUUAAUGAAAAGCCCAAAGGAGAGGAAUUGAAAGCAAUGGUAAUUAUCCCGAUA